rnacentral:rRNA from 1 species
UGGGGAAUAUUGCGCAAUGGGCGAAAGCCUGAUCCAGCCAUGCCGCGUGUGUGAAGAAGGCCUUUUGGUUGUAAAGCACUUUAAGUGGGGAGGAAAAGCUUAUGGUUAAUACCCAUAAGCCCUGACGUUACCCACAGAAUAAGCACCGGCUAACUCUGUGCCAGCAGCCGCGGUAAUACAGAGGGUGCAAGCGUUAAUCGGAAUUACUGGGCGUAAAGCGCGCGUAGGUGGUUAUUUAAGUCAGAUGUGAAAGCCCCGGGCUUAACCUGGGAACUGCAUCUGAUACUGGAUAACUAGAGUAGGUGAGAGGGGAGUAGAAUUCCAGGUGUAGCGGUGAAAUGCGUAGAGAUCUGGAGGAAUACCGAUGGCGAAGGCAGCUCCCUGGCAUCAUACUGACACUGAGGUGCGAAAGCGUGGGUAGCAAACAGGAUUAGAUACCCUGGUAGUCCACGCCGUAAACGAUGUCUACCAGUCGUUGGGUCUUUUAAAGACUUAGUGACGCAGUUAACGCAAUAAGUAGACCGCCUGGGGAGUACGGCCGCAAGGUUA